rnacentral:rRNA from 1 species
AUUCCAGCUCCAAUAGCGUAUAUUAAAGUUGUUGCAGUUAAAAAGCUCGUAGUUGGAUUUCUGGCGGGAGCGACCGGUCGGCGCUUAAUGGCGUGUGCACUGGAGUUGUCUCUUGCCAUCCUUGAGGAGAACGUGUCUGGCAUUAAGUUGUCGGGCUUGGGAUCCUCAUCGUUUACUGUGAAAAAAUUAGAGUGUUUAAAGCAGGCAUUUGCUGUGAAUACAUUAGCAUGGAAUAAUAAGAUAGGACUUUGGUGCUAUUUUGUUGGUUUGCGUACCAAGGUAAUGAUUAAUAGGGAUAGUUGGGGGUAUUCGUAUUCAAUUGUCAGAGGUGAAAUUCUUGGAUUUAUGGAAGACGAACAACUGCGAAAGCAUUUACCAAGGAUGUUUUCAUCA